rnacentral:rRNA from 1 species
GAUGAACGCUAGCGGCAGGCCUAAUACAUGCAAGUCGAACGGUAACAUGAGUAGCAAUACUUGAUGACGAGUGGCGCACGGGUGCGUAACGCGUAUGCAAUCUACCUUUAACAGGUGAAUAGCCCGAAGAAAUUCGGAUUAAAACACCAUAGUAUAAUUAGUUGGCCUCAAUUGAUUAUUAAAACUCCGGUGGUUAAAGAUGAGCAUGCGUGACAUUAGCUAGUUGGUAGGGUAACGGCUUACCAAGGCAACGAUGUCUAGGGGAUCUGAUAGGAUUAACCCCCACACUGGUACUGAGACACGGACCAGACUCCUACGGGAGGCAGCAGUAAGGAAUAUUAGACAAUGGUGGCAACACUGAUCCAGCCAUGCCGCGUGAAGGAUGAAGGCCCUAUGGGUUGUAAACUUCUUUUGUACGGGAAAAAACCUCUUUACGUGUAAAGAGCUGAUUGUACUGUAAGAAUAAGGAUCGGCUAACUCCGUGCCAGCAGCCGCGGUAA